GUGAGGAAUAUUGGUCAAUGGGCGAGAGCCUGAACCAGCCAAGUCGCGUGAAGGAAGAAGGAUCUAUGGUUCGUAAACUUCUUUUGCAGGGGAAUAAAGUGCGGGACGUGUCCUGUUUUGUAUGUACCCUGAGAAUAAGGAUCGGCUAACUCCGUGCCAGCAGCCGCGGUAAUACGGAGGAUCCGAGCGUUAUCCGGAUUUAUUGGGUUGAAAGGGUGCGUAGGUGGUUUGAUAAGUCAGCGGUGAAAGUUUGCAGCUUAACUGUAAAAAUGCCGUUGAAACUGUCGGACUUGAGUGUAAAUGAGGUAGGCGGAAUGCGUGGUGUAGCGGUGAAAUGCAUAGAUAUCACGCAGAACUCCGAUUGCGAAGGCAGCUUACUAAGCUACAACUGACACUGAAGCACGAAAGCGUGGGGAUCAAACAGGAUUAGAUACCCCUGUAGUCC
rnacentral:rRNA from 1 species